rnacentral:rRNA from 1 species
UACGUAGGGGGCAAGCGUUGUCCGGAUUUAUUGGGCGUAAAGAGCUCGUAGGCGGUUUGGAUAGUCGGGUGUGAAAACUCCGAGCUUAACUCGGAGACGCCACCCGAUACUGCCAUGACUAGAGUCCGGUAGGGGAGCAGGGGAAUUCCUGGUGUAGCGGUGAAAUGCGCAGAUAAUCAGGAGGAACAGCCCUGCGGCGAAGGCGGGUUGCUGGGCGUGAUACUGACGC